rnacentral:rRNA from 1 species
UACGGAGGGGGCUAGCGUUGUUCGGAAUUACUGGGCGUAAAGGGCGUGUAGGCGGCGCGGUAAGUCAGGCGUGAAAGCCCCGGGCUCAACCUGGGAAUUGCGCUUGUUACUGCCGUGCUUGAGUCCGGGAGAGGAUAGCGGAAUUCCCAGUGUAGAGGUGGAAUUCGUAGAUAUUGGGAAGAACACCAGUGGCGAAGGCGACUGUCUGGACCGGUACUGACGCUGAGGCGCGAAAGCGUGGGGAGCAAACAGG